rnacentral:rRNA from 1 species
UACGUAGGGUGCGAGCGUUAAUCGGAUUUACUGGGCGUAAAGCGUGCGCAGGCGGCCCGUUAAGACAGGUGUGAAAUCCCUGGGCUCAACCUAGGAAUUGCGCUUGUGACUGUCGGGCUCGAGUACGGUAGAGGGGGGUGGAAUUCCUGGUGUAGCAGUGAAAUGCGUAGAGAUCAGGAGGAACACCGAUGGCGAAGGCAGCUCACUGGGCCUGUACUGACGCUCAUGCACGAAAGCGUGGGGAGCAAACAGG